rnacentral:rRNA from 1 species
AUCAGCCNGUACUCCGAAUGCUUAGGAUUAGUUGAUCAUGGCUCAGAGCGAACGCUUACGGCAUGCCUAACACAUGCAAGUCGCACGGGCCUUGGGCUUCGGUCCAGGGUCAGUGGCGGACGGGUGAGGAACGCGUAGGGAUCUAUCCACGGGUGGGGGACAACCGCGGGAAACUGCGGCUAAUACCGCAUGACGAAUCCCGCCGGGAGGCUGGGUUCCAAAGCCUGCAAGGGCGCCUGUGGCGGAGCCUGCGUCCGAUUAGCUUGUUGGUGGGGUAACGGCCCACCAAGGCGGCGAUCGGUAGCUGGUCUGAGAGGAUGAUCAGCCACACUGGGACUGAGACACGGCCCAGACUCCUACGGGAGGCAGCAGUGGGGAAUAUUGGACAAUGGGCGCAAGCCUGAUCCAGCAAUGCCGCGUGGGUGAAGAAGGUCUUCGGAUUGUAAAGCCCUUUCGGCGGGGACGAUGAUGACGGUACCCGCAGAAGAAGCCCCGGCUAACUUCGUGCCAGCAGCCGCGGUAAUACGAAGGGGGCUAGCGUUGCUCGGAAUGACUGGGCGUAANAGGGCGCGUAGGCGGGUCGGAUAGUCAGGCGUGAAUUCCCGGGCUCAACCUGGGGGCUGCGCAUGAGACGUCCCGGUCUGGAGUGGGGAACAGAGGGUCGUGGAAUUCCCAGUGUAAUGGUGAACAUUCGUUAGAUNUUGGGGAGAACACCNGUUGCGAAAGGCGGGAACUGGUUCCUGAACUGACGCUUAAGGCGCCAAAGCGUUGGGGGAGCCACUGGGUUU